AAGAGACAGCUUGAUCCUGGAUGCAUGGAAAGGGAAGUUGUGUUAAGGCUUUGCCCAGAUAUCAAUAGUUUCCCAAAUUCUGUGGGCCUUUUGAGCUCAUUUCAGCCUGACAAUAGGGCUGAUGGUUUGGGAGAGGGAGAGAGAGAGAGAGGGACCCCCUUCAUGGAGCUGCUGCUCUGGGUCAAGUGCCUGAAUAUAAAAGACGAAUAUGGAAAUGUCACUCUCUUCAAAUGCUUUCAGUCUAGAUGGGGAGUUGGAACCGUAAAACAAACGAAGAAGCAAUGUGACAAGGGAAACGAGUUCAGAGGAGGCACUUUCAUCAGCGGGCAGCUGAGUCUCCAGAAAGCAGACUGCGCUGGAAGUGGAGAGAUUUUAGGGGGAAGAGUUUUGCCUCCUGCAGCAUCCAAGGUGACCACGAUUCCAUAAACCUGACUUUUCCAACAAGGUCUGCCUCUCAGGCCUGGGGGCAAGGAGUUGGGUCGGGGGUGGAGGGUGGGGGGUGGGCAGGGCUCUUUCUUGGACCCUCUAUCUCAGGCCCAGGGUUAGUGGCUCUUCCUUAUACCUGCCACUCUGACACUCUCAAGAAUUCUCUUCAUUCCGUACUAGUCAAUCCCUUGUUACUCCAAUCCCCUCUUAUAGAUGGUCAUUCCUUGUUUUUUUUGUCUUUAAAAAAAGUUUUUUUUAAAUUGGAGUUGAUUUACAAUGUAUUAGUUUCAGGGGUAUAGCAAAGGGAUGCAGUUAUAUUCAUUCUUUCUCAGAUUCUUUUCCAUAUAGGUUAUUACAGAGUAUUGAGUAGAGCUCCUUGUGCUACGCAGUAGUCCUUGUUGAUUAUCUAUUUUGUUAUUCUUUUUAGGGCCGCAUCCAUGGUAUAUGGAAGUUCCCAGGCUAGGGGCUGAAUUGGAGCUACAGCUGCCAGCCUGUACCACAGCCACAGCAACGUGGGAUCCUAGCCUCGUCUGUGAUCUACACCAGAGCUCAUGGCAAAGCCGGAUCCUUAAUCCACUGAGCAAGGCCAGGGAUCAAACCCGGAUCCUCAUUGACUCCAGUCAGAUUAAUUACCGAUGUGCCACAAGGGGAACUCCCCAUUUUAGUCAUUCUUUGUAUUAAAUUUACUCUGUUCAAAUUACUGUGUGGUGUCUUUUUCCAGAUUGGACCCAGAUGGAUACCUAACCGAAAUUAACUCAAGAAGAACUGGACGACCUGAAUAGCCCCCUCCCCUGCCACCGCAUCUCUUUUUAGGGCUGAACCUGCGUAUAGAAUUUCUUGGCUUAAGGGUCGAAUUGGAUCUGCAGCUGCUGGCCUAUGUCACAGCCACAGCAACACCAGAUCCGAGCUGCAUCUGUGACCUAUGCCAUAGCCUGCAGGCAACCCAGGAUCCUUGACCCACUGAGCAAGGCCAGGAAGCGAACCCACAUCCUCAUGAAGACUAGUCAGGUGCGUAACCCUCUGAGCCACCAUGGAAACUCCAAGCUCUGUAUCUCUUAGAUAGAUUAGGGGUUUAAAAUUUUUCUCUGUAAAGUAAGAGGCGAGGUCAUCUGUUGAGUGGGAGGGACUGAAAGAGAUUAAGGUGUGAGGGACCUGGACAAUGUUUGCAAUAGUUCUUAGGAAGCAUGGGAGCUUGUGCUGAAAUUGUACUAAAAUUGCAGGCCAGUGUCGAAGUCCUAAAUGAAGCGGUCAAUGAUGAAUUUAUGUUGGGACUUAGGCGUGGGAAGGAUAAGGUGCAUAGUUAGGUGCCUCCAACAGGGGAUUUGCCAGCAGGUGCUAUUGAAAGAAAUCAGAAUUAGGGGCCUUCAGGGUAUUGGCAAGGGGUUAGAAAGAUGAAAGAGAAAGUGUAAAAUGUGAAGGGGGCAGUAGAGAGAGAGAGAUGGAAGGAGGGAGAGGGAGAAAGAAACCGAAAGCAGAGAAGAGUUUGCACUGAUUUAUAAUCACGUGACUGCGCGGAAUGAACAGCUGGAUUUCAACUCAUCUCUCUAGAGUCUCAUUCUCCCCAGAUAGGGUCAAGAUUGAGACAAUUUGGCUUCAGUGUGGUACAUUCCAUACGGUGGGGGACAGCUGGGGCGGGAGGGAAAACCGAAGUUGUUUACACACGAGAGCUGGCUCCGCUAUUUUUUGGACUGAUUACGCAAGAAGACUUCCAAUUUUAUUUCUUCUGAACAUGUUAGGGUGGGUAGAGGGAGUAAGUGCCUUUCAGUGGUACCCAGCCUGGAGAAAGAGGGCUUGGCAUCCAGGGACAGCUUUGUUCACUUCCCUCCUGGCACCAACUAGUGGAUUCUCAAGUCUUGUGGGGGAAACAGAAUAUCAGAGAGUUUAGAGGGGAUUGGGGGCUUGGGAGGCAAUUGGAUAGCUGUGUUUAUUUAUCCUAUAACAUGAUAUGUUUAAUAAGCCCCCCUAAGUGCAUUUCCUGGCUCUAGUCAUGCAACCUUCCAAUCUAAACUCCAUACUUUAGGGAGGGUUUCUUCCUCCUCUUUUUAACAUAAAUAUAUAUAUAUAUAUUUUUUAAACAUAAUAUAUAUAUUUAUUUUUGUCUUUUUAGGGCCGCACCUGUGGCAUAUGGAGGUUCCCAGCUAGGAGUCCAAUCGGAGCUGUAGCAAUGAGGAAUCUGAGCUGUGUCUGCGACCUACACCACAAUUCAUGGCAACACCUGAUCCUUAACCCAUUGAGUGAGGCCAGGGAUCGAACUUGCAUCCUCAUGGAUACUAGUCAGACUUGUUUCCACUGAGCCAUGAUCAUGACAGGAACUCCUCCUUUUGUUAUUUUUUUUUUUUUUU
rnacentral:lncRNA from 1 species